AAACAAAUGCCAUUCUACCUGUGUAUGAUAUACUGAGAAGAUUGUAGAUUAAUCUACAAUCUUCUCAGUAUAUCAUACACAGGUAGAAUGGC